rnacentral:rRNA from 11 species
CGGAAUUACUGGGCGUAAAGCGCGCGUAGGCGGUUUUUUAAGUCUGAUGUGAAAGCCCACGGCUCAACCGUGGAGGGUCAUUGGAAACUGGAAAACUUGAGUGCAGAAGAGGAAAGUGGAAUUCCAUGUGUAGCGGUGAAAUGCGCAGAGAUAUGGAGGAACACCAGUGGCGAAGGCGACUUUCUGGUCUGUAACUGACGCU